ensembl:lncRNA
GGGAAAUUAGUUUAAUUUAUUAUCAAUCAAAUCAGAGAAGGGUAAUAAGAAAUAAAACCAAACCUUAAAAACACCUUCCCCCCACCCCUCCAUUCUUCCUGGGCUUAACUGUACUCCUGAUUUUCUCUGCCUCCUCCCCUCCAGUGGCGCAGGACUGGGAAUGGAAGCUGGGGUCAGUUCAUUACACAUUGUCUCUGUUGCUCCUUCCUCCUCAGGGGAGGACGCCUCACACUCUUCCCCUGCUCCGACAUGGGGUCCCUCCGACAGGAGACAGUCCUCCAUGAACUUCUCCAACAUGGGUCCUUCCCAGGGGCUGCAGUUCUUCACAAACUGCUCCAGCAUGGGUCCCUUCCAUGGGUGCAAUCCUUAAGGAACAGACUGCUCCAGCGUGGGUCCCCCAUCGGGUCACAAGUCCUGCAGCAAACCUGCUCCAGUGUGGGCUCCUCCCUCCACAGGACCACAGCUCCUGCCAGAAGCCUGCUCCAGCAGGGCUUCCCAUGGGGUCACAGCCUCCUUUGGGCAUUCACCUGCUCUGGUGUGGGGUCCUCUAUGGGAUGCAGGUGGAUAUCUGCUCCAGCAUGGACCACCACGGGCUGCAAGGGGACAGCCUGCCGCUCCAUGGUCUUUACCACAGGAUGCAGGAGAAUCUCUGUUCCAACACCUGGAGCACCUUCUCCCCCUCUUUCUUCACCGACCUUGGUGUCUGCAGAGUUGGUUCUCUCACAGAGUCUCACUCCUCUCUCCAGCUGCAGGUUGUUGUGCAGUAGUUUUCCCCUUCUUAAACACACUAUCGUUGAGGCGCUACUAUUUUUGUUGAUGGGGUCAGCCCUUGGCCAGCAGCAUGUCAGUCUUGGAGCCGACUGGCAUUGACUCUAUCAGACACAGGACAGGCAGGCUUCUAGCAGGUUCUCACAGAAGCCACCCCAGUAGCCUCCCUGCUACUAGAACUUUGACACACAAACCCAAUACACAUAUAAACUAACUUCAAAUUCUGUCAUAUAACAAAGGCCACCACUCUGUAGAAACUGCCAGUUUGCAUUUUAACCUGUCCUUAAAAGAUGAAAGUCCACAUCGAGAACCACCAUGGAAAACAGAAGCCUGUUACGGCCUCUGCACCACAAGGCUAGCAGGCAGCAGGCUGACCAUCCUAUUACCACUUAAAAACACUGGUGGCUCAAAGCAGCAGAAUUCAUCUUAACAAAUUAGCAUACACACUGGUUCUUUCCAUAGCUUUAUCUGCUCUACAAAUAAAGGUUCAAUACUGUUUCUACUACCCCUUCAAAACUGUUUUCCUUUAAAAGGAAAAGGCAAUAGCCAGCAAUAGUACUUUCAGGAAUAUCUGCAGUUGCAAUAUUACCCUGUAGUUAAAUCUGUUAAUAGACUUCAGCCCAGAAGGGUUGGUUGGUUGUUUUAAACGUAAGUUUCAAAACAAAGAGGAGGUAGCAAAAAGAUUACCUAGGAUAUGUCUCAGGUUUUCAUGACUGAUUUUACACUGUGAUGAAUAGGCAUGACUCUCUCCCCCUUCACCCUUAGCUCAUGUGUACCUUCUUGCUUUCAAUACUAGUGAAUAAUUUAAUGACUCCUUCCACAUAGAAUUACCAAACCCAUAUUUUCUCUCCUCCCCCAACUCCUUCCUGCAAGCUCUGAAAACUUCCUUACGUUUUUAUUAACCUAGGCACCCUCAAAAACUAAACCCCCCACA